UACGUAGGGUGCAAGCGUUGUCCGGAAUUAUUGGGCGUAAAGAGCUUGUAGGCGGUUUGUCGCGUCUGCUGUGAAAUUUCGGGGCUCAACCCCGAACUUGCAGUGGGUACGGGCAGACUAGAGUGUGGUAGGGGAGACUGGAAUUCCUGGUGUAGCGGUGAAAUGCGCAGAUAUCAGGAGGAACACCGAUGGCGGAGGCAGGUCUCUGGGCCACUACUGACGCUGAGAAGCGAAAGCAUGGGGAGCGAACAGG
rnacentral:rRNA from 1 species